CUGAACGCUGGCGGCAUGCUUUACACAUGCAAGUCGAACGGUAACAGGCCGCAAGGUGCUGACGAGUGGCGAACGGGUGAGUAAUGCAUCGGAACGUGCCCAGUCGUGGGGGAUAACUACUCGAAAGAGUAGCUAAUACCGCAUACGAUCUAUGGAUGAAAGCGGGGGACCGUAAGGCCUCGCGCGAUUGGAGCGGCCGAUGUCAGAUUAGGUAGUUGGUGGGUAAAGGCUCACCAAGCCAACGAUCUGUAGCUGGUCUGAGAGGACGACCAGCCACACUGGGACUGAGACACGGCCCAGACUCCUACGGGAGGCAGCAGUGGGGAAUUUUGGACAAUGGGCGCAAGCCUGAUCCAGCAAUGCCGCGUGCAGGAAGAAGGCCUUCGGGUUGUAAACUGCUUUUGUACGGAACGAAACGGCUCUGGUUAAUACCCGGGGCUAAUGACGGUACCGUAAGAAUAAGCACCGGCUAACUACGUG
rnacentral:rRNA from 1 species